CCUACGGGGCGCAGCAGUGGGGAAUAUUGGGCAAUGGAGGCAACUCUGACCCAGCAACGCCGCGUGAAUGAUGAAGGUCUUCGGAUUGUAAAGGUCUGUGAGGGGGGAGGAACACAAUGACGGUACCCCAAUAGCAAGCCACGGCUAACGACGUGCCAGCAGCCGCGGUAAUACGUAGGUGGCAAGCGUUAUCCGGAAUGACGGGGCGUAAAGGGUGCGUAGGUGGUUUCGGAAGUUGGCGGUGUAAUUCCGGGGCUCAACCUCGGCGCUCCCGCCCAAACUAUUAGACUAGAGUGCAGGCGUGGUAAGUGGCAUUCCUAGUGUCGCGGUGUAAUGCGUCGCUAUUAGGAGGAACAUCAGGGGCGACGGCGACUUACUGGACUGUACCUGACACUGCGGCACGAAAGCGUGGGGAGCAAACAGGAUUCGCUACCCUGGUAGUC
rnacentral:rRNA from 1 species